rnacentral:lncRNA from 1 species
UGACGUUCCAAGUUAGCUGUCUCUCUUUCUGCCUCUGGCUUGUGGGUCGGAUGUAAGCUGUCAGCCUGGCUGCCUGCUACUGUGCUCAGCCAUGGUGGUUAUGGACUUACCCUCUGAAACUGUGGAGAUGUGUCUGGCAUGCAUUCUGGUCAUGCCAUGCUACCAGGCUGACCUUCCAAAUCCACAAGAUGCUUCUCAGUUUCAGGAGGACCCAUUUAUUAAUUGUCAAUAUCAGUGUCUGUGCUACAGGUGUAAUGUUCAGGAAGCUGUCUCCUGUACCAAUUCAUUCAAGGGUACUUCUGCUCCUACAGCUGAUAAACACAUUCAGCAAAGUGGAAGAAUACAAGAUUAACUCAAAAAAAUCAAUAGCCCUACUACAUACAGAUGAUAAGAGGGCUGAGAAAGAAAUCAGAGAAACAUCACCCUUUACAAAUAGCCACAAACAACAUAAAAUAUCUUGGGGUAACACUAACCAAACAAGUGAAAGACCUGUAUAACAAGAACUUUGAGUCUCCAAAGAAAGAAAUUAAUGGAAAGAUAGUAAAAAUGGCAAUCUUACCAAAAGCAAUCUACAAAUUCAAUGCGAUCCCCAUCAAAAUCCCAGCACAAUUCUUCACAGACCUUGAAAGAACAAUACUCAAUUUUAUAUAGAGAAACAAAAGACCCAAUUAGCCAAAACAAUCCUUUAGAAUAAAGAAACGCCUGGAGGCAUCAUCAUCCUUGACUUCAAGCUCUAUUAUAGAGCUAUAGUCCUGAAAACAGCUUGGUAUUGGCACAAAAAUAGACUGGUAGACCAAUGGAAUAGAAUUGAAAACCCUGAUAUUAACUCACAUACUUAUGAACACCUGAUUUUUGACAAAUACGCUAAAAUAUACAAUAGAAGAAAGAAAGCAUCUUCAACAAAUGGUGCUGGCCUUACUUUCACUUUAUGCAGCACACUUUGUUUUCUCUUUCUUUUCAGAUUUUUCUGAAAUCUGUUUCAGAUUCUUGUUGUCUUUUCACUGACGUUUCUCUUCAGAAGUUAUGAAAGACCCCCGGAGAGGUUCUUUCGUGGAAGAAGACCCACACCCAGGAAUCAGCGAAACCACGAACUUUGGAUUCCAGGAAUGGUCAUCUGUAUAUUGGAAGGCUCUGGCAGCUGCUUAACUCCUGG